GGGGCUGUGGCUUGGUGGCAGGGUAUCCGUUUGGCACACAGAAGGUCCCUGGUUCUGUUCCCAGCCUGCUUUA
rnacentral:tRNA from 1 species